UGCCAGCCGCCGCGGUAACACGGGGGGCGCAAGCGUUAUUCGGAAUUAUUGGGCGUAAAGGGCGCGCAGGCGGUCUUGUCCGUCAGGUGUGAAAGCUCGGGGCUCAACCCCGGAAGUGCACUUAAAACUGGCAGGCUAGAGUCUGGGAGGGGAUAGCGGAAUUCCGGGUGUAGAGGUGAAAUUCGUAGAUAUCCGGAGGAACACCAGAGGCGAAGGCGGCUAUCUGGACCAGUACUGACGCUGAGGAGCGAAAGCGUGGGGAGCAAACAGGAUUAGAUA
rnacentral:rRNA from 1 species